rnacentral:rRNA from 1 species
AUGAAACUGUUAAGUUGGAACUGUCGGGGGCUUGGGAAUGCCCCGGCAGUUCGUGCUUUGCUGGACGUCCAGCGAAGUUGUAGCCCAGAUGUGAUGUUUUUGUCGGAGACACACCUAGAAAGCUAUCCGGUUGAAUGUUUGAGGAGAAGACUGAAAAUGAAUCAUAAAAUAGUUUGUCCAGGUGAUAGUAGAAAGGGAGGCCUGUUGAUGCUAUGGAAAAAGGAAAUAAAGAUA